rnacentral:sRNA from 1 species
CUUCUCACAAAUCACGUAAAAUUCGGGAGGGCUCGCAGAAUCCGCACGUUGGCAUGAGCCUA